rnacentral:lncRNA from 1 species
UUCAACAUCACAGUUAACAGUCUGACAGAAGACUUGGAACAUUUUCAUACUGAUUAAGUGAAUAGCUUGAAAAUUGAAACAUGUUACUCAUUUUACAUGUCUAAUGUCUACAGGACACGAAUAUUGAAUCCAAAACAAGAAUGGACGACUUAACAUUCAAACACCCAGUAAAUAAAUGAUGAUUACGAGAAAUCCUUAUUGACGAAAAACUGACAAUGAUAGCAAGUCUGAUCUUAGA